rnacentral:rRNA from 1 species
GAUGAACGCUGGCGGCGUGCCUAAUACAUGCAAGUCGAGCGAACAGACGAGGAGCUUGCUCCUCUGACGUUAGCGGCGGACGGGUGAGUAACACGUGGAUAACCUACCUAUAAGACUGGGAUAACUUCGGGAAACCGGAGCUAAUACCGGAUAAUAUAUUGAACCGGAUGGUUCAAUAGUGAAAGACGGUUUUGCUGUCACUUAUAGAUGGAUCCGCGCCGCAUUAGCUAGUUGGUAAGGUAACGGCUUACCAAGGCGACGAUGCGUAGCCGACCUGAGAGGGUGAUCGGCCACACUGGAACUGAGACACGGUCCAGACUCCUACGGGAGGCAGCAGUAGGGAAUCUUCCGCAAUGGGCGAAAGCCUGACGGAGCCACGCCGCGUGAGUGAUGAAGGUCUUCGGAUCGUAAAACUCUGUUAUUAGGGAAGAACAAAUGUGUAAGUAACUAUGCACGUCUUGACGGUACCUAAUCAGAAAGCCACGGCUAACUACGUG